AGCUCCAAGAGUGUAUAUUAAAGUUGUUGCAGUAUGCUCGCUGAUGAUAUGCCUGAUGAUGCUCGUGGGCGGUCUGCAUGCUAUCGCUGAUAGUCGUCUGAUGUCUUACCUCUUGGUGAGCCGGCAUGCCCUUCACUGGGUGUGUCGGGGAACCAGGACUUUUACCUUGAGAAAAUUAGAUGCUGCUCGUAGAUGCUCGCCCCGAAUACAUUAGCAUGGAAUAAUAAAAUAGGACGUGCGGAUGCUCGCUAGUAGAUUCUAGAGUCGCCGUAAUGAUUAAUAGGGAUAGUUGGUGAGUCGCUCGUGAUGAUGUUAGAGGUGAAAUUCUUGGAUUUACGGAAGACUAACUAUUGCGAAAGCAUUUGCCAAGGAUGUUUUCAUUAAUCAAGAACGAAGGUUAGGGGAUCGAAAACGAUCAGAUACCGUUGUAGUCUUAUGGUGUGAACCGUGUGUGUAGGGAUCGGGCGAACUCAAUUUGAUGUGUCGCUCGGCACCUUACGAGAAAUAUGCUCGCUGUAGAGUGCUGCGGAGUAUGGUCGCAAGGCUGAAACUUAAAGGAAUUGACGGAAGGGCACCACCAGGUGUGGAGCCUGCGGCUUAAUUCGACUCAACAAGGGCGAAUGCUCGUAGAUCGCUGCUGA
rnacentral:rRNA from 1 species